rnacentral:rRNA from 1 species
CGAUGCACACUAGUUGUUGCUAUACUAGAUAUAGCAGUAAUGCAGUUAACACAGUAAGUGUGCCGCCUGGGGAGUACGGUCGCAAGAUUAAAACUCAAAGGAAUAGACGGGGACCCGCACAAGCGGUGGAGCAUGUGGUUUAAUUCGACGAUACGCGAAGAACCUUACCUGGCCUUGACAUAGAAAGAACUUACUAGAGAUAGUUUGGUGCUAGCUUGCUAGAACUUUCAUACAGGUGCUGCACGGCUGUCGUCAGCUCGUGUCGUGAGAUGUUGGGUUAAGUCCCGCAACGAGCGCAACCCUCGUGUUUAGUUACUAACAGUUCGGCUGAGGACUCUAGACAGACUGCCUUCGCAAGGAGGAGGAAGGUGAGGACGACGUCAAGUCAUCAUGGCCCUUACGGCCAGGGCUACACACGUGCUACAAUGGGGUAUACAAAGAGCAGCAAUACGGUGACGUGGAGCAAAUCUCAUAAAAUAUCUCCCAGUUCGGAUUGUAGUCUGCAACUCGACUACAUGAAGUUGGAAUCGCUAGUAAUCGUAGAUCAGCUAUGCUACGGUGAAUACGUUCCCGGGUCUUGUACUCACCGCCCGUCACACCAUGGGAGUUGAUUUCAUUCGAAGCGGGGAUGCUAAAAUAGCUACCUUCCACAGUGGAAUUAGCGACUAGGGUGAAGUCGUAACAAGGUAACC